rnacentral:lncRNA from 10 species
UUUGCUGCUGCCACAAUCUGAGCAGAUGCCAGGGAAUGUCUAUGGGGCUCUGGUGAUGUGGAGACACAAAGGCUGAGGUUCCCUGGGCAGGGUACAGACCCCUGAUGGCUGUGCUCCCAGUAUAGCACCCUAUCGCUGCUGCUCAAGUCCGGGGGCAGAGUGAGCAACCCAGUGCAAGUUGGUAAUCUGGUGCAGUGCCCUCAAGAAGUCCCCAAAUCACUGCCCACACCAGUGUUUGGGUUUGCAGGGUAGAGGAGAUCUCCGACAGUUCAGUUACCAGU